CGGCCCCAGACUCCUACGGGAGGCAGCAGUCGGGAAUAUUGGACAAUGGGCGAAAGCUUGAUCCAGCCAUGCCGCGUGUGUGAAGAAGGUCUUCGGAUUGUAAAGCACUUUAAGUUGGGAGGAAGGGCAGUAAGCUAAUACCUUGCUGUUUUGACGUUACCGACAGAAUAAGCACCGGCUAACUCUGUGCCAGCAGCCGCGGUAAUACAGAGGGUGCAAGCGUUAAUCGGAAUUACUGGGCGUAAAGCGCGCGUAGGUGGUUCGUUAAGUUGGAUGUGAAAGCCCCGGGCUCAACCUGGGGACUGCAUCCAAAACUGGCGAGCUAGAGUACGGUAGAGGGUGGUGGAAUUUCCUGUGUAGCGGUGAAAUGCGUAGAUAUAGGGAGGCACACCAGUGGCGAAGGCGACCACCUGGACUGAUACUGACACUGAGGUGCGAAAGCGUGGGGAGCAAACAGGAUUAGAUACCCGGGUAGUCCACGC
rnacentral:rRNA from 1 species